rnacentral:rRNA from 1 species
GGAGGGAUCAUUGCUGGAACGCGUUUCGGCGCACCCAGAAACCCUUUGUGAACUUAUACCUAUUGUUGCCUCGGCGUUAGGCCGGCCUCUUCACUGAGGCCCCCUGGAAACGGGGAGCAGCCCGCCGGCGGCCAACUAAACUCUUGUUUCUAUAGUGAAUCUCUGAGUAAAAAACAUAAAUGAAUCAAAACUUUCAACAACGGAUCUCUUGGUUCUGGCAUCGAUGAAGAACGCAGCGAAAUGCGAUAAGUAAUGUGAAUUGCAGAAUUCAGUGAAUCAUCGAAUCUUUGAACGCACAUUGCGCCCCCUGGUAUUCCGGGGGGCAUGCCUGUUCGAGCGUCAUUUCAACCCUCAAGCCUGGCUUGGUGAUGGGGCACUGCUUCGAGAGGAGCAGGCCCUGAAAUUCAGUGGCGAGCUCGCCAGGACCCCGAGCGUAGUAGUUAUAUCUCGCUUUGGAAGGCCCUGGCGGUGCCCUGCCGUUAAACCCCCAACUUCUGAAAAUUUGACCUCGGAUCAGGUAGGAAUACCCGCUGAACUUAAGCAUAUC